rnacentral:rRNA from 1 species
UACGUAGGGUGCGAGCGUUAAUCGGAAUUACUGGGCGUAAAGCGUGCGCAGGCGGUUGUGCAAGACAGAUGUGAAAUCCCCGGGCUCAACCUGGGAAUUGCAUUUGUGACUGCACGGCUAGAGUGUGUCAGAGGGGGGUAGAAUUCCACGUGUAGCAGUGAAAUGCGUAGAGAUGUGGAGGAAUACCGAUGGCGAAGGCAGCCCCCUGGGUCAAGAUUGACGCUCAUGCACGAAAGCGUGGGGAGCAAACAGG